UGAUUAGAAGCUUGCUUCUAUGACGUUAGCGGCGGACGGGUGAGUAACACGUGGGCAACCUGCCUGUAAGACUGGGAUAACUUCGGGAAACCGAAGCUAAUACCGGAUAGGAUCUUCUCCUUCAUGGGAGAUGAUUGAAAGAUGGUUUCGGCUAUCACUUACAGAUGGGCCCGCGGUGCAUUAGCUAGUUGGUGAGGUAACGGCUCACCAAGGCAACGAUGCAUAGCCGACCUGAGAGGGUGAUCGGCCACACUGGGACUGAGACACGGCCCAGACUCCUACGGGAGGCAGCAGUAGGGAAUCUUCCGCAAUGGACGAAAGUCUGACGGAGCAACGCCGCGUGAGUGAUGAAGGCUUUCGGGUCGUAAAACUCUGUUGUUAGGGAAGAACAAGUACAAGAGUAACUGCUUGUACCUUGACGGUACCUAACCAGAAAGCCACGGCUAACUACGUGCCAGCAGCCGCGGUAAUACGUAGGUGGCAAGCGUUAUCCGGAAUUAUUGGGCGUAAAGCGCGCGCAGGCGGUUUCUUAAGUCUGAUGUGAA
rnacentral:rRNA from 1 species